CCUUGGAAGCCGGAAAGUGGGCCUGUGCUACUUUAUGGACUUUCCGUGGGUUGCUACGCCACAGACAUGGUGAUGCACUAUGCUUGACAAAUGAUUGCUUUCUGAAAGAAUUGCAGAGGCAACUUGCAUAGGAAACUUGGAUUGUUACCAUCCCAGAAGAACAGAAAAGGAAGA